GGAUUGGUGCUUCCCCUUUAUUUUGUCACACUUUGGUGUCCUUGAGUUCAUAAUAGAUUCACCUUUGUUCUGAUUCUGCGCACAGGUCGAGCGACGGCGAGCACAUCCGACGGCAACACACCAAGCAAAAAAGAAGCAGGAGCAAAACGAAAGUGAGCACCAUAGAAAGGAUGAUUAUAAGCAAGCGACAAGAACAAGCCAAUGGGCAUGGCAUUUUCAAGCGACAAGAACAAGCCAAUGGGCUUGGCAUUUUAUGAAAAAUGAGCAGAGGUAAUGUAUUAUUGUAUUGGUCGAGACUUGAGGGUACUGUCUAAACAAAAUGUAUACAGUUGGCAAAGAAUUUAAUGUACAUACAUAGUACAUUAUGUGAUGUAUAAUGUUCAAUUGGCCUCCCAAUCAUAGUAUGGAUAUUUUCAAUAUGGGUGGCAUUCAGGCUUA